UAUGUUGUAAGUUGCUCCUGAAAAGCUGGAAGCUUGUAAUAUUUUUGUUCUUUUGAAUGCAAUUAAAUAAUUCUUAAGAUCAUCCAUUGAUGACUGGCUCACUUUCUUACUGGCUGACUUUUUUCUAUUUAUUUCUUUCAGCAUAUUCAUCAUUAACUGAAAAAUAGGAAACAAUUGCAUGAAAUCAAAUAUGUGGACAAAAAAGUGAAUUAUUUCUCCUGAAACCAAACAACUAUUUUGAUCCUUUGUAUAAAUCUGAGCUUAUCACGUUUAAAUCAUAUGCACAGUGGAUGAUUUCUCAACAUGAAUCGUGCUUUUAGCAGAAAAAAAGAUAAAACAUGGAUGCAUACACCUGAGGCUUUAUCAAAGCACUAUAUUCCCUACAAUGCAAAGUUUCUUGCCA